rnacentral:rRNA from 1 species
AUGGUGAUCAAUGCCGAGGAUUUACUUGCUGCUCAACUAUUUACAUGUGAAGCUUGGCUAACUAGUGGUGGAACUAUCAACAACUCAAGGACUGAGAAAGUAGCCGUGGUUCGCCCAGCUGUGGUCUUGCCAAGCGCCUCAAGCAGGGCACUGCAGCAGAAGAAGAUAUCUUAUAUGAUAUGUCGGGUUGAUAUAAGUUAUUAUGGGUGGGUCAACUUUGAACAUAAGAAUGGGCUCGAGAGAUAUCUUAUAUCAGUUAUAACAGAAUAA